rnacentral:rRNA from 1 species
CGUAGGGGGCAAGCGUUGUUCGGAAUUACUGGGCGUAAAGGGCGCGUAGGCGGCACAGCAAGUCGGGAGUGAAAGCCCGGGGCUCAACCCCGGAACUGCUUUCGAAACUGCUGAGCUAGAGUACAGAAGGGGCAACCGGAAUUCCCAGUGUAGCGGUGAAAUGCGUAGAUAUUGGGAAGAACACCUGAGGCGAAGGCGGGUUGCUGGGCUGAUACUGACGCUGAGGCGCGAAAGCCAGGGGAGCAAACGGGAUUAGAUACCCCGGUAGUCCUGGCCCUAAACGAUGGAUACUUGGUGUGUGGGGUUCUCUGAGUCCCCGCGUGCCGGAGCUAACGCGGUAAGUAUCCCGCCUGGGGAGUACGGUCGCAAGGCUG